rnacentral:rRNA from 1 species
UGGAUCCUACGGGGGGCAGCAGUGGGGAAUAUUGCGCAAUGGGCGAAAGCCUGACGCAGCGACGCCGCGUGAGGGAUGAAGGUCUUCGGAUCGUACACCUCUGUCAGCAGGGAAGAACGGUCACUGUGCUAAUCAGCAGUGAAUUCACGGUACCUGCAACGGAAGCACCGGCUAACUCCGUGCCAGCAGCCGCGGUAAUACGGAGGGUGCGAGCGUUAAUCGGAAUUACAGGGCGUAAAGCGCUCGUAGGCGGUAUGUCA